rnacentral:siRNA from 1 species
UGAUUACGGUAAUAAUGGCGG